rnacentral:rRNA from 1 species
AUGGAGUGCCCGACCCGGAUUGGACUUGGCGGCCAUAAGAAGGAAGGAUCCUCCACCGCCUGCCUGCCUUGCCUCUCGGCGUUCUCGCGUCGCGGCUCGACCUGGCCCUUGCCCUGUCUCUCGCCAUCGGCUGCCAGGUCAGGGCCCUCGCCCUUGUCCUCCUUCUCGGCGCCUGGGCCGCGAGCCACGCUCAGCCCCCUCCUUGGCUUCGAUCUGAUGGCCCUUCCCCAACCUCCUCGACCUCGACAGAUCCGGGAGGCCGCCGCUCGUCAAAUUGCUUACCUAUACUGCCUCUUCAUUUGCACCGUCAAAAAUUGCACAUGGGCUGUUUCAGACUUUGAGGGUUCAGAAAACAGCUUGAAGAGCCAAUCGGGAGUGGGGGUCAGAAGAGGGACGUUGGUGGUGUUCGAGAUGUAUCGGUGGUCACCUGUUGGCAGGGCCCUCAUGGAGACACUGGACAAGAUGAUGCUCAGUGGUGUGCUCAGCCCCGAGCUCGCCUUAAGCGUCCUCCUGCAGUCCGUCCAUGAGCGGUUGGAGCACCAGGUUAAGAGCAAGGCAUUCUUCAAAGGUCGCAUCUUCAUGAGACUUGCAAAGAACGGUGGUGCUGCAGCACUGAGUGUUGCCCUUCAUAUUGGAAAGACUGAAAAUGCUGAAGAACUGCCUGGCAAGCAUAUUGGCAGUAGACUUCCGGUGAGACUUCAGUUUCCAUCAUCAAAGUGCUCCUAA